rnacentral:tRNA from 1 species
AGUUCAGUUGCUAGAGCGCUCCACCUGUAAUGGAGAGGUCCCGGGUUCGAUACCCGG